rnacentral:rRNA from 1 species
UAAGCCAUGCAUGUCUAAGUAUAAGCAAUUAUACAGCGAAACUGCGAAUGGCUCAUUAUAUAAGUUAUCGUUUAUUUGAUAGUACCUUACUACUUGGAUAACCGUGGUAAUUCUAGAGCUAAUACAUGCUGAAAAUCCUGACUUCGGAAGGGAUGUAUUUAUUAGAUUAAAAACCAAUGCCCUCUGGGCUCCUUGGUGAUUCAUAAUAACUUUUCGAAUCGCACGGCCUUGCGCCGGCGAUGGUUCAUUCAAAUUUCUUCCCUAUCAACUUUCGAUGUUUGGGUAUUGGCCAAACAUGGUCGCAACGGGUAACGGAGGGUUAGGGCUCGACCCCGGAGAAGGAGCCUGAGAAACGGCUACUACAUCCAAGGAAGGCAGCAGGCGCGCAAAUUACCCAAUCCCGAUUCGGGGAGGUAGUGACAAUAAAUACUGAUACAGGGCUCUUUUGGGUCUUGUAAUUGGAAUGAGUACAAUUUAAAUCUCUUAACGAGGAACAAUUGGAGGGCAAGUCUGGUGCCAGCAGCCGCGGUAAUUCCAGCUCCAAUAGCGUAUAUUAAAGUUGUUGUGGUUAAAAAGCUCGUAGUUGAACCUUGGGCCUGGCUGGCCGGUCCGCCUCACCGCGUGUACUGGUCCGGCCGGGCCUUUCCCUCUGUGGAACCUCAUGCCCUUCACUGGGUGUGGCGGGGAAACAGGACUUUUACUUUGAAAAAAUUAGAGUGCUCCAGGCAGGCCUAUGCUCGAAUACAUUAGCAUGGAAUAAUAAAAUAGGACGUGUGGUUCUAUUUUGUUGGUUUCUAGGACCGCCGUAAUGAUUAAUAGGGACAGUCGGGGGCAUCAGUAUUCAAUUGUCAGAGGUGAAAUUCUUAGAUUUAUUGAAGACUAACUACUGCGAAAGCAUUUGCCAAGGAUGUUUUCAUUAAUCAGGAACGAAAGUUAGGGGAUCGAAGACGAUCAGAUACCGUCGUAGUCUUAACCAUAAACUAUG